GACGAACGCUGGCGGCGUGCCUAAUACAUGCAAGUCGAACGAAGCUUUUUUAACUGGUGCUUGCACCGACUUAAACAACUGAGUGGCGAACGGGUGAGUAACACGUGGGUAACCUGCCCCAAAGCGGGGGAUAACAUUUGGAAACAGAUGCUAAUACCGCAUAACCACAGAAACCACAUGGUUUCUGUGUCAAAGAUGGUUUCGGCUAUCACUUUGGGAUGGACCCGCGGCGUAUUAGCUAGUUGGUAAGGUAAUGGCUUACCAAGGCAAUGAUAGGUAGCCGAACUGAGAGGUUGAUCGGCCACAUUGGGACUGAGACACGGCCCAAACCCCUACGGGAGGCAGCAGUAGGGAAUCUUCCACAAUGGACGAAAGUCUGAUGGAGCAACGCCGCGUGAGUGAAGAAGGUUUUCGGAUCGUAAAACUCUGUUGUCAGAGAAGAACGUGUGUGAGAGUAACUGUUCGUGCAGUGACGGUAUCUGGCCAGAAAGCCACGGCUAACUACGUGCCAGCAGCCGCUGUAA
rnacentral:rRNA from 1 species